rnacentral:rRNA from 1 species
UCCAGACUCCUACGGGAGGCAGCAGUGAGGAAUAUUGGUCAAUGGACGCAAGUCUGAACCAGCCAUGCCGCGUGCAGGAUGACGGCUCUAUGAGUUGUAAACUGCUUUUGUACGAGGGUAAACCCCGAUACGUGUAUCGGGUUGAAAGUAUCGUACGAAUAAGGAUCGGCUAACUCCGUGCCAGCAGCCGCGGUAAUACGGAGGAUGCGAGCGUUAUCCGGAUUUAUUGGGUUUAAAGGGUGCGUAGGCGGAAUAUCAAGUCAGCGGUAAAAAUUCGGGGCUCAACCCCGUCGUGCCGUUGAAACUGAUGUUCUUGAGUGGGCGAGAAGUAUGCGGAAUGCGUGGUGUAGCGGUGAAAUGCAUAGAUAUCACGCAGAACUCCGAUUGCGAAGGCAGCAUACCGGCGCCCAACUGACGCUGAAGCACGAAAGCGUGGGUAUCGAACAGGAUUAGAUACCCCGGUAGA